rnacentral:ncRNA from 2 species
CGAUAUGUUGUGCCCGUCGGUGCCGAUCCUCGCGGUCGGCUGAAAAGGGAAGCCGGUGUGAAUCCGGCGCUGCCCCGCAGCGGUAAAUGGAAACGAACGCCGUCUUGGCACUGGGGCAACACGCCCUGGGAAGCGACGGCCAGUAGGAAAGUCAGGCGCUGCCUGCCACGUCCAGAGCCCGAAGACCUGCCGACAACCGCGCGAUGCA